rnacentral:ncRNA from 1 species
AAAAAAGUUUUAUUUUAGCUUAAAUAAUAAAUAAAUAAUUUUUUUACAUGUAAAUUAAAGUGAUUUUUAAUGUAAUUUUAAAUAGGUUAUAAAUUUACAUUAAUUAUUCGCAGUAUUUAAUUUUAGAUAUUAAGGAGGCUUAGAUUUAGAAAUUUAUUUUAAUAUUAACAUAAUUUGUGCCAGCAGUUGCGGUUAUACAAAUAAUAUAAUUUAUUAUUAUUAAUAUGUAGUUAAUUGGUUUUGUAGGUUAAAUAUUUAUUAUAAUUUAUUAAGUGAAAUUUUAAAUUAUAAGUUAAUUUUAUUUUAUUAUAUAAAGCUAUUAAAUUUUAUAUAAAACUAGGAUUAGAUACCCUAUUAUAAAAAUGUAAAAUUAAAAAUUAAAUUAUUAAUAGUUAUAGUCUUUAAAGUUAAAAAAUUUGGCGGUAUUUUAAUCUAUUCAGAGGAACCUGUUCUAUAAUUGAUAUUCCACGAUUAAAUUUACUUAAUUUAGAAAUUUGUAUAUCGUCGUAGUUGAAUAUUUUAGUAGAAAAAUAAUAUUCAUAAUUUUAAUUUUAAAUAUAAAUCAGAUCAAGAUGCAGUAUAUAAUUAAGCAGAAAUGGGUUACAAUAAAUUGAAUUUUUGGAUUUAGUUUUGUAAAAAUUAAUAAAAUUGGAUUUGAGAGUAAUUAAAUUUAUUUAGAUUUAAUGAUUUUAGUUCUAAAAUAUGUACAUAUCGCCCGUCGCUCUCAUUUAAGUUGAGAUAAGUCGUAACAUAGUAAAUGUACUGGAAAGUGUAUUUAGGUUG